rnacentral:rRNA from 1 species
AACGAGCGCAACCCCUGCUAUCUGUUGCCAGCAAGUGAUGUUGGGGACUCAGAUGGAACUGCCGGUGACAAACCGGAGGAAGGUGGGGACGACGUCAAGUCAUCAUGGCCCUUAUGUCCUGGGCUACACACGUGCUACAAUGGCCGGUACAGAGCGCAGCGAAGCCGCGAGGCAAAGCGAAUCGCAAAAAGCCGGUCUCAGUACGGAUUGGAGUCUGAAACCCGACUCCAUGAAGUUGGAAUCGCUAGUAAUCGCGCAUCAGCAUGGCGCGGUGAAUACGUUCCCGGGCCUU